ACACAUGUACACACACGCACACACAGCUACACACCCCCUUUUCAAGGAGAGAGAGAGCACACUCAGCUCACAGGACCCUGAAAGCCCACUCUGGUGAUUCCUGCACACACUGAGACUCCAGACCAGGACCCAGACGUCCCACCUGCACAUAUAUAUCGGACACGCAACCCUCAACGCACACACAGCAGCACUGCAGUCAUGUCGGACUCUGAGACCGCCGCCGCCCCCGCCGAGGCCCCCGUCCCUGCCGCUUGUGCCAGCAUCAAGGCCGACCUGGACAAAUGUGUGGCCGAGAAGGGAGCCGAGGGCUGCAAGGAUCUGAUGGAGGCCUUCGCUGCUUGUGUGAAGAGCGCAGCUGAGGCGACGUCGUGAGGAAGUUGCUCUACAACUUCCGAUGUCCCUCAAUUUGGUCCACUGCACUGAGUCCUCCAAGUUCCCAGCAUUCCCUUCUGCACAACAGCACUGGACUGAGCGAAAACAACAACAACAAUGAUGCUGAUGAUGAUGAUGAUAGUGAUGCACAUGGUGUUUGGGAUCUGGCAGCAGUAAACCAGUUUCCUCCUGUCUUUAAACUUACCCCGUGUUCCUCAGUCUUACCCCCCGUUCUCCCUCCCCCUUCUCCUCCAUGGGUGACAUACAGAACAUCGACUUGUAGACAAUUCCAGAGAGCCGAUGGGCUGUGAUGUAAAUUGUCGACUUGAAAUGAAAUCUUAUAAAUGGAAAUAAAAGUGAAUAUUGAUAUAAA